GACAGAGGUCCCAAGCGUUGUUCGGAUUCACUGGGCGUAAAGGGAGCGUAGGCGGUCGGGUAAGUCUGACGUGAAAUCUCCGGGCUCAACCCGGAAACUGCGUUGGAAACUACCUGGCUCGAGGAAUGGAGGGGAGACUGGAAUACUUGGUGUAGCAGUGAAAUGCGUAGAUAUCAAGUGGAACACCAGUGGCGAAGGCGAGUCUCUAGACAUUUCCUGACGCUGAGGCACGAAAGCCAGGGGAGCAAACGGG
rnacentral:rRNA from 1 species